rnacentral:rRNA from 1 species
UACGGAGGGUGCAAGCGUUAUCCGGAUUCACUGGGCUUAAAGGGUGCGUAGGUGGGUCUGUAAGUCAGUGGUGAAAUCUCCGAGCUUAACUCGGAAACUGCCAUUGAUACUAUAGGUCUUGAAUUAUCUGGAGGUGAGCGGAAUAUGUCAUGUAGCGGUGAAAUGCUUAGAUAUGACAUAGAACACCAAUUGCGAAGGCAGCUCACUACACAAUCAUUGACGCUGAGGCACGGAAGCGUGGGGAUCAAACAGG